rnacentral:lncRNA from 1 species
CAAUAGCAAAGUCCGGACCGUUUCCACGGCAUUAUGGAAGGGGUCUUGGAAGGACUAGAGAAACGGAGUCAGAGUAUCCGAGCCCGGGAGGCCAUCAACUCUCUAUGGGGGGUCGAGGCCAACUUCACCUCUACUUCGGUUUCCGGGUUUGUGAUACGCAGAGGCAGCUGGGCUGCCCAGUGUUCUAAGAGGACUUGGGGAGGCUGGGCGAUAGAAAGGUUAUUAGCUAGCACGCUCUGUACCCAGCCCGUAGGUCUGGGCGUUCCCGCCCUCGCCCGACUUUCUCGCCCCGGGCUGGGAAGGUGGAGAAAAACUCUCCAUUCUCACCCCACUUCCUGUUUGCUGGGUGCACUCUGUGACCAUAGAUGGUCAGGUCUGGGUCUGUGCGGAAGCCGCCGCCUAGCAGCUGCAGUCCUUCCUCCCGGCGCGCAGGGUGUGGUUCCUGAGAAUAAGAUGAGCUGAAUGAGGAAAUUCUGUCUCAUUACGCAAAAAUCCGGUUUCUGAGGCAUCCUUGCUCCAGGCAGGUAUACCCAGUCCUCUGCUAAUAAAUCCGAGGGCGAUUUAGCGUUGCAGCCUGCGGGAAAAACUUCGCUUCCUUGCUCCUUGGACCGGUGAUUGCAUAUUUGUUCCUUCUGGGCUCACACUUUCCCAACCGGUCGUUAUCCUCCCACAUGAUUUAUUUCUAGAAAAAAAAUUGGUAAGUGCUACAGUUCCCACCCCUUCAACCGAAUGCCUGUGACAGCUCCGUGUUCAAGUGGAAUGCAGGUAUUAUAUGCCAGAGUCAUUCAACAAAUAUAGUUCUUAUAAUAAUAGUUACCAUUUUCUGUGCAGUGACUACACUCCAGGCCUGUGCUGAAUGCUUCAAACGCCAUUUCGUUUAAUUCUAAAAGCAUCUCUGUUCUAUGCCCUCAGGUUUUCAAAUAAGGAAGCUGAAUAAUUUGCCAAGCAAGGUCAUAAAGUAACUGUUGGAACUUUGAAGGGAACACAUCUGACUCUAACCCCCUUGAGUUUAACCCAUAUGAAAGACCAUACUGGAAUUAUUUGAGGUAGUGAAAGCCUCUGCAUCUGGAGAUCUCAGGUUCAACAUCUCAGUCCUAGCCUGAGCCCUUUACUAGGGGUCAGACUUUACUCGAUUACCUUGGGCCUCUUCCCAAUUUUAUAACUUCCAGUAUGUUUAAAAGAAAAAUGACAACAUGAGAAAGUAUGGUACAAAAAUUGUAGUACAUUUUUUAAUUUACAUUUAACCCAAAACACUGUCUCACAGUACACACUAACUAUAUUUGGACAACAUUGGCAUGUCAAAUUUAGGCUGGGCAUAGUCUUUUUUUUUUUUUCUUUUUAUUUGUUCUUUUUAGAUACACAUGACAGUAGGAUGUAUUUUGGCAUAUUAUACAUACAUAAAGUAUAACUUAUUCUAAUUAGGAUCCUAUUCUUGUGGUUGUACAUGAUGCAGAGUUAUUCUGGUCAUGUAUUCAAAUACAAAGAUAGGAAAGUUAUGUCCCAUUAAUUCUACUAUCAUUCCUAUUUCCCUCAGACAGAACAUUCAGCCUUUGGUUUUGGGGGACUGUUUUAUUUCAUUAGCAUGAUAUUCUCCAACUCCAUCCAUUUACUGGCAAAUGCCAUAAUUCCACUUUUCUUUAAAGCUGAGUAAUAUUCCAUUGAGUAUAUACACCACAUUUUCUUUAUCCAUUCAUCUAUUGAAGGACACCUAGGUUUGUUCCAUAGCUUGGCUAUUAUGAAUUGAGCUACUAUAAACAUUGAUGUGGCUGCGUCACUGUACUAUGCUGAUUUUAAGUUCUUUGCGUAUAGACUGAGGAGUAGGAUAGCUGGGUCAAUGGUGGUUCCAUUCCAAGUUUUCUAAGGAAUCUCCAUAUUGCUUUCCAUAGUGAUUGCAUCAAUUUGCAGUCCCAUGAGAAAUGUAUGAGAAUACCUUUCUCCCCACAUCCUCACCACAUUUAUUGUUACUUGUAUUCUUUAUAAUUGCUAUUCUGGAGUGAGUUGGCAGUCUUACAGGCCUAUAAUCCUAGGGACUGGGAAGGCCUCAUCAGAAGAUCACAAGGUGGAAGCCAGCCUCAACAAUUUAGUGAGAUUCUCUCAAAAUAUAAAAGGGCUGGGGAUAUAGCUCAGUGGAAGAGUGUUCCUGGGUUUAAUCCCCAACAGAAGGCAAAAAGAAGAAAGGUUAAGUGUAUGUGAAACCCAGGGCAAAUAGCCCCACUAGCCCUUGUAAUCUUCGUUUUACAUUUAACCCUUCCAAAUCUCUUUCUGUGAUAGGGAUACAAAAUGCACAGACCAUACAUGCAUCCUAAAGGAAGAGGAGAGAGGAGGAAAUGGGAAGAAGAAAGAAAGAAAGGAAGCUUCCUCAUCUAUAAAAUGGAGAUGGUAAUUCAUGGGGUUGUAAAGAGAAACAGAAGCAAUAAUCCAUGUGAAACCACUCUGUAAAAUAAUUGUUUGUGAAAAGUGCACAUAAGUCAUAACUCCUACCUCUCAGGAUAUUCUCUUUUAAGGAGUCUAGACCCAUACACUUGUAACUCCAGAGCAAGAUAGUUUAAGAACAAUAUCUGGUUUGUGUAGUGGUGCGUUCCUGUAACCCUGGCUACUCUCCUGGCUGAGGCAGGAGAAUCACAAGUUCAAAAAUAGUCUGGAUAAUUUUGGAAAAACUUGUCUCAAAAUUUUUGAAAAGAGAUGGGGAUGUAGCUCAGUGAUAGAGUGUUUGCCUAGUAUGUUUGAGGCCUGGGUUUAUUCCCCAGACUCCAACAUCUGUCACUUUUAUUCAUUCAUUUAUUUAUUUAUACAGUAAAAUAAGUUUGUUGAAUUAUUUCUAUGUAUCAUUUAACCAAGGAUACUGCAGUAUCCUUAGUCAGACCCUGUUGCUGCCUUCAAAAAGUAUGUAGUCUAUUCUGGAAACAGGUAUUACCAUCUGGGGUUGUCAUCAAAUGUGCUGACUUCUGGCUUCCAGCUUUUUCUUCCUCACUCAUCUUGCCCUGUGCCUAGCAAAGUGCUUCAUCUAUAGUGUGCUCUCAUCAGUGAAUGCCUUGAAUUCAGAAGAGUCAUUUCCUGUACUGAGAUGGAUACAUAAAACACUGCAGACCAUGAAUAAACAAUAUUGGAGAUGGGAAACUGUGUCAGGCUGAAGUGAGAGGUCCCUGUAGAAGAAUAGGAGAUAAGGCUUUAAAAAAAAAAUUGAACAAACUGUACAGGAAGGAGAAAUAAAAACUUUAAAGUGAAAGCAAGGAGGAGCUUGUAUUUUACAAAUUAUAGCUUCAGUGUAUAGAAUGGGCUUGAGUGGCAAAAUAAAAAAAAAACAGGAAGACUUAUUAGAUGAUAGAUACAAUGAUCUAGGAAGGAUCUGAAUCAAAGCUGUGGUAUACACAGCAAAGGGGCCAAUUCAGAAGACACCAUUCUUUUUUUUUUUUUUUUUUUUUUUUUUUUAAAUUUUUUUAAUAUUUAUUUUGUAGUUUUCAGUGGAUACAUCUUUGUUUGUAUGUGGUGCUGAGGAUCGAACCCGGGCCGCACGCAUGCCAGGCGAGCGCGAUACCGCUUGAGCCACAUCCCCAGCCCCCAGAAGACACCAUUCUUAUGAAAGGAAUAAUGAGGGUGAUGAUAGGAAGAGGACAAGUGAAAAGGAAGUGAUUUGAAUAUGAUUCUUCAGAUUAGAUCUGGCCCCAGGUGCUGUGGUUUGAAUGUUUGUUCCCCUCCAAAAUUCAUAUUAAAAUUUAGUCACCAAUUAAGAGGCUUGUAGGAAAUGAUUUGGCAAUGAGAACUCUGCCCUCAUGGGUGGGAUUAGGGUCUUAUGAGAGGAUUGAGGAAACUAGUAAGGCCCUUUUGCCUUUCUCCCUUCUACCAUGUGAUGAUGCAGCAUUAAAGCACCAUAAUGGAAGUUGAAAGCAGGUCCUCUACCAGGCCCUAAAUCUACUGGCACCUUGAUUUGAAUUUCUAGUCUACAGAACUAUGAGAAAUAAAUAUAUGCUUUUUAUAAACAAUUUAGUCUUUGGUAUUUUGUUAGUAUCAGGAAGAGCUAAGACACCAGGUAUUCACUCUCAUUUGAUACUACUUUUCUUUUGUCACAGGUAUUACAUCCUCAUUAUAUAUGCAAUUAUCUUUCAUAUCUUUCUCCCCUGUAAGUUUCUUCCUCCCUAUAAGUCCUUGUCUACCUGAAAAAAAUGGUACUCAAUAAAUAUUUGUAGGAAAAAUUGACUAAAUGGAAAAAGUGAGAGGGGCCAAGGAUUUCUGAGCCUUGGAAUCUCAGUGAUGGAAGGAGUGAGGGGAAGAGGAGUGAUUCUGGA